AUGCUAUAUCUAGAAAGUUGUGUCAGCAAGUUUAUUUUCCCCUUUCCCUUCCUCUCAUCCACCUCUGGUUAUCCUGACCCUGAGGGGAUGUAUGCUAUGGAAGGUGGGCUAGCUACCUCACAGACCAGACCUGACCCUGAGGGGAUGUAUGCUAUGGAAGGUGGGCUAGCUACCUCACAGACCAGACCUGACCCUGAGGGGAUGUAUGCUAUGGAAGGUGGGCUAGCUACCUCACAGACCAGACCUGACCCUGAGGGGAUGUAUGCUAUGGAAGGUGGGCUAGCUACCUCACAGACCAGACCUGACCCUGAGGGGAUGUAUGCUAUGGAAGGUGGGCUAGCUACCUCACAGACCAGACCUGACCCUGAGGGGAUGUAUGCUAUGGAAGGUGGGCUAGCUACCUCACAGACCAGACCUGACCCUGAGGGGAUGUAUGCUAUGGGAGGUGGGCUAGCUACCUCACAGACCAGACCUGACCCUGAGGGGAUGUAUGCUAUGGGAGGUGGGCUAGCUACCUCACAGACCAGACCUGACCCUGAGGGGAUGUAUGGUAUGGAAGGUGGGCUAGCUACCUCACAGACCAGACCUGACCCUGAGGGGAUGUAUGGUAUGGAAGGUGGGCUAGCUACCUCACAGACCAGACCUGACCCUGAGGGGAUGUAUGCUAUGGAAGGUGGGCUAGCUACCUCACAGACCAGACCUGACCCUGAGGGGAUGUAUGGUAUGGAAGGUGGGCUAGCUACCUCACAGACCAGACCUGACCCUGAGGGGAUGUAUGGUAUGGAAGGUGGGCUAGCUACCUCACAGACCAGACCUGACCCUGAGGGGAUGUAUGCUAUGGAAGGUGGGCUAGCUACCUCACAGACCAGACCUGACCCUGAGGGGGUGUAUGCUAUGGAAGGUGGGCUAGCUACCUCACAGACCAGACCUGACCCUGAGGGGAUGUAUGCUAUGGAAGGUGGGCUAGCUACCUCACAGACCAGACCUGACCCUGAGGGGAUGUAUGCUAUGGAAGGUGGGCUAGCUACCUCACAGACCAGACCUGACCCUGAGGGGAUGUAUGGUAUGGAAGGUGGGCUAGCUACCUCAUUGACCAGACCUGACCCUGAGGGGAUGUAUGCUAUGGAAGGUGGGCUAGCUACCUCACAGACCAGACCUGACCCUGAGGGGAUGUAUGCUAUGGAAGGUGGGCUAGCUACCUCACAGACCAGACCUGACCCCGAGGGGUUGUAUGCUAUGGGAGGUGGGCUAGCUACCUCACAGACCAGACCUGACCCUGAGGGGAUGUAUGGUAUGGAAGGUGGGCUAGCUACAUCACAGACCUGA
rnacentral:lncRNA from 1 species